UAUAUUUUUUUUAUCAUCAUGGCCAUCCUUACUAUCAUUUUUAAGUGGCCACAUAGAUACAUAACUGGCCUGCCUCGUAAACAACAGUGUCUUCUUUUAUUGAUGUUGCAGGAUGGGCUUCUCAUUUUCUCUGCUGACUUCGUAGAGUUGUUUGAGCAAACAGUAAAUUCAGUUAGUGUGGAUAGACAGCACCACAAACUCAGUGGUCAGCUUUUCCUCAAGAUGAUGCUUCCUCACUUGGUGACUCAAGAGUCCAGUUACAAUCACACCCACCUCCUUCCACAGAUUAUUUGAGAACAUCUUUGAAAGGUACAUGAAAUUAAUACCAUGGGUCCUCUUCAGAGAGAAGAAUGUCAACACUGGAAGCUAAGAAGCAUGAUAACACCACAGCUAACACCGAAGAUGCUAACAUUCUCUGCAUGCCCACCUAGCAAAGAUGUUCCACAAAAUCUUUACUUCCUCAGGUGUUACUGCAUGUUAACUGAGCUCUUACUACAUGCUAGGUGCUGUUCUACCCUCUGUUAGUAAAGACAUUUUAAAACAUUCAUUUAUUUUUGUAAAGAUAUAAGGCAGAAAACGAGAGAACUUGUCUUCAGCUCUGGGGAAACAAAAUCCAAUUCGACACUCACUUUUCUUAUUGCUUUGAAUGAAUAGACAAAUUUUUAAGCAUUUUGUAUGGUUUUGACAAAUAAUCGUGAGUAUUUUCAAAGCAUUUCGGAAGAAAGUGGUGUUUGUGCUCUGUUCAGUGGAAUUAACAGAUGGUAGCCUAGACUGCAUAGCAGCUAUUCUGGUCAUUACUUAUUCUGGCACAGGGCAUGGAAACGUUUUGUUUUGUUAAAGCUAAUAAAUCUGUACUGAUACGCACGGAAGUGAAUAGAUAAAAAUCAUAUUUUAAAAUGCACUUUAAUUCUGGAAAAAAUAUCUCUUGCUUUCUGCUGUUAAACACAUGUUCUUUACGUAUAAAUAGUACAAAAGUUACAAUACAUGAAUUCUGUUCCAUGAAAUUUUCUUAAUUACCUACACUGAGAUUUGAAAUUCAAAACAAAACAAAACAAAACAAAACCCCUUUGUUGUGACAUAUAAAUCGAACUCCAUAGGUUUGCCACCCAGACCCUCUGCAACCUCAAAACCUCAAAACCUGCUCUCUGAAAGCCCCCACCCACCGCACCUUUGGAAAAAAAAAAAAAAAGUUUUGGCGUUUACUUCAGACCCAGACAAGAUAAAGUGGGCCUUCAGUUUUGCAAGAGCAGACAAUUGUAGGUUUCCAAUUUAGAUAAGGUUUUGAAGAGAAUGAUUUAAA